rnacentral:rRNA from 1 species
AUUGAACGCUGGCGGCAUGCCUUACACAUGCAAGUCGAACGGCAGCAUGAUCUAGCUUGCUAGAUUGAUGGCGAGUGGCGAACGGGUGAGUAAUACAUCGGAACGUGCCCUGUAGUGGGGGAUAACUAGUCGAAAGAUUAGCUAAUACCGCAUACGACCUGAGGGUGAAAGUGGGGGACCGCAAGGCCUCAUGCUAUAGGAGCGGCCGAUGUCUGAUUAGCUAGUUGGUGAGGUAAAGGCUCACCAAGGCGACGAUCAGUAGCUGGUCUGAGAGGACGAUCAGCCACACUGGGACUGAGACACGGCCCAGACUCCUACGGGAGGCAGCAGUGGGGAAGUUUGGACAAUGGGCGAAAGCCUGAUCCAGCAAUGCCGCGUGUGUGAAGAAGGCCUUCGGGUUGUAAAGCACUUUUGUCCGGAAAGAAAUGGCUCUGGUUAAUACCUGGGGUCGAUGACGGUACCGGAAGAAUAAGGACCGGCUAACUACGUG